CUACGGGUCGCUCCAGUGGGGAAUAUUGCACAAUGGGGGGAACCCUGAUGCAGCAACGCCGCGUGGAGGAUGACGCAUUUCGGUGUGUAAACUCCUUUUAUAUGUCAAGAAAAUGACGGUAGCAUAUGAAUAAGCACCGGCUAACUCCGUGCCAGCAGCCGCGGUAAUACGGAGGGUGCAAGCGUUACUCGGAAUCACUGGGCGUAAAGGACGCGUAGGCGGGUUGGAAAGUCAGGUGUGAAAUCCUACAGCUUAACUGUAGAACUGCACUUGAAACUUCUAAUCUAGAGUAUGGGAGGGGGAGAUGGAAUUAGUGGUGUAGGGGUAAAAUCCGUAGAUAUCACUAGGAAUACCUAAAGCGAAGGCGAUCUCCUGGAACAUUACUGACGCUAAGGCGUGAAAGCGUGGGGAGCAAACAGGAUUAGAUACCCCUGUAGUC
rnacentral:rRNA from 1 species